rnacentral:tRNA from 1 species
UUUUAAUUUUUAAUAAAAUUUUUAUUUUAAAUAUUUUUAUUAAAAUAAUCAUUAAAAUAUAAUAAUUUAUUUAAGUUAAUGAGCUUGAACAAGCAUUU